GAUGAAGAACGUAGCGAAAUGCGAUAAGGAGUGUGAAUUGCAGAAUUCAGUGAAUCAUCGAAUCUUUGAACGCACAUUGCGCCCUUUGGUAUUCCAAAGGGCAUGCCUGUUCGAGCGUCAUUUGUACCCUCAAGCUUUGCUUGGUGUUGGGCGUCUUGUCUCUAGCUUUGCUGGAGACUCGCCUUAAAGUAAUUGGCAGCCGGCCUACUGGUUUCGGAGCGCAGCACAAGUCGCACUCUCUAUCAGCAAAGGUCUAGCAUCCAUUAAGCCUUUUUUUCAACUUUUGACCUCGGAUCAGGUAGGGAUACCCGCUGAACUUAAGCAUAUCAAUAAGCGGAGGA
rnacentral:misc_RNA from 1 species